rnacentral:rRNA from 1 species
CUACGUGCCAGCAGCCGCGGUAAUACGGAGGGUGCGAGCGUUAAUCGGAAUAACUGGGCGUAAAGGGCACGCAGGCGGUGACUUAAGUGAGGUGUGAAAGCCCCGGGCUUAACCUGGGAAUUGCAUUUCAUACUGGGUCGCUAGAGUACUUUAGGGAGGGGUAGAAUUCCACGUGUAGCGGUGAAAUGCGUAGAGAUGUGGAGGAAUACCGAAGGCGAAGGCAGCCCCUUGGGAAUGUACUGACGCUGAGGAGCGAAAGCGUGGGGAGCGAACAGGAUUAGAUACCCUGGUAGUCCACGCUGUAAACGUUGGGCACUAGGUGUGGGGGCCACCCGUGGUUUCUGCGCCGUAGCUAACGCUUUAAGUGCCCCGCCUGGGGAGUACGGCCGCAAGGCUAAAACUCAAAGGAAUUGACGGGGGCCCGCACAAGCGGCGGAGCAUGCGGAUUAAUUCGAUGCAACGCGAAGAACCUUACCAAGGCUUGACAUGC